UUGCCAAUGAUCCCCUUUUGGUGUCUGUUCUUAUCUUUUUAAGCAGAAUAAUGUUAGGGUUGAACAGGAUGCUGAAGUGAGGAAGACUCCCUCUCCCAUUAAACUGCAGACAUCAGCAGAAAGCAGAAUUUCAGUUCCUCUUUAAUUCAGAAGAGGAACAACAAUGGAGGACCAAGGUCAUUAAUAUAAGAAGAGUCUAUUCCUGUCUGUGUUUUGAAGGCAUUGUGUUUCAAAAGUGCAGAAGAAAGUUAAGACUGACUAGGAAUUCUAAGUGAGGAAGAGUCCCUCUCCCAUUCCGCUGCAGCCAUGAGGAGAAUAUUUGUACUUCUUUUUUUACCUAUGGAACUUCAUCAGGACCCACUUUAACAAGCAGGAGUCUUACAAUAUUUUAAAGGGAUUUGACAAGGGAAGAAGGAAGAAGACCAGUGCUGACCAAGAGAAGAAGAAGAGUCCAUUGCCAAGCUUUGUCCAGCAGCCAAUAUCUGAUAAUGGAGCAGAAGAUGAGACUGACCUCAACUUGUUAACAAGACUGGAGAUGAAGGACUAACUACUGUCUAACCUAAAAUCUUUGGUAGGGGUUUAUGCUGGCAUUGAUCCUGUUUCCAAAAGCAGCUCGCAAUGUUUCUGUGAGAGUCCAAAGAGAUCAGCUAGAACCUGAAAAUAAAGACAGACUGCCAUCAAUAUCGUUUCUUUGAUAGCAGACAAAUAUGCUUCAACAAUAGUGCAGAGAGUAAGGUUGGACUGCAAGUUAUAGACACACUAAAGAGCUCAACUCAAAGAACUCAAUGGACUGUGCUGAGUACAUUGUUAUUACGAAGUGAUGGACACAUUAAACAGCUUACCUCACAGAAUUCAAUGAACUGUGCCGAGUACAUCGUUAUAAUAAAGUGAUGGACAGUUGGACACACUAAAUAUCUUAACUUGUAGGAUUCAGUGCACUGUGCUGAGUAACUCUUAUCAACACAGUGAUGGACACACUAAACAGCUUAACUCACAGAAUUUAAUGGAUAUUGCUUGAGUACGUUGUUAUUACAAAAUGAUGGACACAGUAAAUAGCUUGACUCCAGAAUUCAGUGGACCGUGCUGAGUACAUAACUCAUAAAGGAUAACUCCUGACACAUUCACAGCAGAUCACUCAAAGUUAACUCUGUUAAAUUUGUAAUAGGCAUUUGGAGAAAGCUCAGAGUGCUACUACAUUAUUGUACAUCUUUUCAUAUCCUAAGUUAUUUUUCUGAAU